UACGUAGGUGGCAAGCGUUGUCCGGAAUCACUGGGCGUAAAGCGCGCGCAGGCGGCGAUCUACGUCUGGGGUGAAAGCCCGGAGCUCAACUCCGGGACUGCCUUGGAUACGGGAUCGCUUGAGGAUUGGAGAGGCAAGGGGAAUUCCACGUGUAGCGGUGAAAUGCGUAGAGAUGUGGGGGAACACCUGUGGCGAAGGCGCCUUGCUGGCCAAUUACUGACGCUGAGGCGCGAAAGCGUGGGGAGCAAACAGG
rnacentral:rRNA from 1 species